AUUUUUUUUUUCUGAAGGCGUGGCUACACAUGCAAGUCGACGGCAGCACAGUAAGAGCUUGCUCUUACGGGUGGCGAGUGGCGGACGGGUGAGGAAUACAUCGGAAUCUACUUUUUCGUGGGGGAUAACGUAGGGAAACUUACGCUAAUACCGCAUACGACCUACGGGUGAAAGCAGGGGAUCUUCGGACCUUGCGCGAUUGAAUGAGCCGAUGUCGGAUUAGCUAGUUGGCGGGGUAAAGGCCCACCAAGGCGACGAUCCGUAGCUGGUCUGAGAGGAUGAUCAGCCACACUGGAACUGAGACACGGUCCAGACUCCUACGGGAGGCAGCAGUGGGGAAUAUUGGACAAUGGGCGCAAGCCUGAUCCAGCCAUACCGCGUGGGUGAAGAAGGCCUUCGGGUUGUAAAGCCCUUUUGUUGGGAAAGAAAUCCAGCCGGCUAAUACCUGGCUGGGAUGACGGUACCCAAAGAAUAAGCACCGGCUAACUUCGUGCCAGCAGCCGCGGUAAUACGAAGGGUGCAAGCGUUACUCGGAAUUACUGGGCGUAAAGCGUGCGUAGGUGGUCGUUUAAGUCUGUUGUGAAAGCCCUGGGCUCAACCUGGGAACUGCAGUGGAAACUGGACGACUAGAGUGUGGUAGAGGGUAGCGGAAUUCCUGGUGUAGCAGUGAAAUGCGUAGAGAUCAGGAGGAACAUCCAUGGCGAAGGCAGCUACCUGGACCAACACUGACACUGAGGCACGAAAGCGUGGGGGAGCAAACAGGAUUAGAUACCCUGGUAGUCCACGCCCUAAACGAUGCGAACUGGAUGUUGGGUGCAAUUUCGCACGCAGUAUCGAAAGCUAACGCCGUUAAGUUCGCCGCCUGGGGAGUACGGUCGCAGACUGAAACUUCAAAGGAAUUGACGGGGGCCCCGCACAAUCGGUGG
rnacentral:rRNA from 1 species